rnacentral:rRNA from 1 species
GAUGAACGCUGGCGGUGUGCCUAAUACAUGCAAGUCGAGCGAACAGACGAGGAGCUUGCUCCUUUGACGUUAGCGGCGGACGGGUGAGUAACACGUGGAUAACCUACCUAUAAGACUGGGAUAACUUCGGGAAACCGGAGCUAAUACCGGAUAACAUGUUGAACCGCAUGGUUCAACAGUGAAAGACGGUCUUGCUGUCACUUAUAGAUGGAUCCGCGCCGCAUUAGCUAGUUGGUAAGGUAACGGCUUACCAAGGCAACGAUGCGUAGCCGACCUGAGAGGGUGAUCGGCCACACUGGAACUGAGACACGGUCCAGACUCCUACGGGAGGCAGCAGUAGGGAAUCUUCCGCAAUGGGCGAAAGCCUGACGGAGCAACGCCGCGUGAGUGAAGAAGGUCUUCGGAUCGUAAAACUCUGUUAUUAGGGAAGAACAAAUGUGUAAGUAACUAUGCACGUCUUGACGGUACCUAAUCAGAAAGCCACGGCUAACUACGUG